CUAAAAUGCAACCGUGGAAGCAGAAAUCACCUGUGUUUCACCAUACAGCCAGGCUCCAGUGUGACUGUCACUUUCCGCACCACCACUCUAUGCUUGCUUGGUAAACAUUCACCCGACGGCCGCUGAUUCUCCGCAAUAGAUGGAUUGGAUAAAAGGAGAGAGAAACAAGGGAAGUGAGAACGAAGGCCAUAGAGGAGGAGAAGAGAAGCAAAAUCAGCCUUUGCCCUGCAGUUUGUGCCAAGUGCCAGGAUACAGCAGUGGAUUAAAGUUUGCUCAUUGGCCAAACGGUGGCACUGCAGGCUCACAAAUAAACACCCUUCCCCCUGACCAGACCGGACUGAUUUCAAGCCAAGGGGCACUGACAGAAAAUCAAUGCUUGGUUUCCCAUGAGCACCUAAUUAGCUGGACACUUGUGCGCUGUUGAAACACGGGAAACAUCUCUUUGUCUGCUGAGUCGAUCGGACGAAAUGCGAAAGAGACACCUUCUGAGCUGAUAAAG